rnacentral:rRNA from 1 species
UAAAAAUUAAGUUAGAUACGUUAAAAAUUUAGAGUAAUUUUAUUAGGUGAAAUUUUAUUUUUAUAAAAUUUUUAAAUAUUUAAGAUUUUGAAGCUUAGAAAUUUUGUUUUAAAACUAGGAUUAGAUACCCUAUUAUUAAAAUGUAAUUAUUUUAUCUAAAUUAGUGCUAGGGGAGAAAAUUAGGAGAGAUUUUAAAUUCUUGAAAAUUAAGAAGAAUGGCGGUAUUUUAGUCUUUUCAGAGGAACCUGUCCUGUAAUUGAUAGUCCACGAUUUUUAUUACUUUUUUUUUUAGUUUAUAUAUCGCUGGGGUUGAAUAUUUUUUUUGAAGAGUCAAAUAUUCAAAGUUUUUAAAAAAAGAAAUUCAGGUCAAGAUGUAGUUUAUAAAAAAGAAAAGAUGGGUUACAAUAAUUUAAAUUUUGGAAAAAUUUUUUAAAAUAGUUUUAAAAUUGGAUUUGAGAGUAAUUAUGUAAAUUCAUAUAAAAUGAUUUUAGCUCUAAAAUGGGUACAUAUCGCCCGUCGCUUUCAUUUUAAAAUGAAAUAAGUCGUAACAUAGUAGGUGUACUGGAAGGUGUCUCUAGAAGA